UAUAAACAUCAUCUCAUCUAUACCUUACAGAAUUUUUGAACAUCAUCUUGUCAGUAGCUUGAAAUAUAACAUUUGACUUUGUAUGUCGAACUUCUAAUCUUAUCUGAAGUUUGAUAUAUGUGAUUUGGCUUAUGAGCAUCAUCUCAUCUGUAACUUGAAGAUAAAACAUGACUUGUGAGCAACAUCUCAUUCGGAGCUCGUAAGACAAUAACUGACUUGUGAGCAUCAUCUCGUGUGGAGCUUGAAAGAUCAUAACUGACUUGUGAGCGUCAUCUCGUCUAUAAUUUAAUAGAUCAAAGUUGAAUUCUAAGCAUCACACAUUUCGAGCUUGAAAGACCACAAAUGAAUGCUAAGCAAUAUGUCAUUUGAAGUUUCAAGACCGAAAUUAAGUUAUAAGCAUCAUUUUGUUUGGAUCUUGACAAACCACUUCUAAUUUAUGAGCACUACAUUGUUUGGAGCUAAAAUACUCAUGAGACCAUAAUUGGCUUGUGAGCAUCAUCUCGUGUGGACCUUGUAAGAAUUCCAUUAGGUAUUAUGAAAAAAAAAAGUUUUAUAAGUGUUUCAUCUCUACAUUAUGAUGAAUUGAUGAUAAGAGUCAAAUGUCAUAAGCUAAAUCUUGACCCCUACAAAUUUCACAAGUUCCAACUUUCUAGGAUGAAAAAGUUAUCAAGCACAACACACUUUGAUCUUCCCAGUUUCAGUGUAGUCAAGAAUCAUAAAACCCCCAAACCACCACAAAUAUUCAGAAAGUAAACACAAAAAAUCCAAUCGGCCGCUAUCCAGACACAAAUGAACACCACGCAGAAAAAUAUUAACUUAAUCAAUUCCAGAAACAAUAGAAUUCUUGAUUCAAUCAUCACAAAAUGAACCCAAAAGAUGAAAACAGACCAAAUAAAUAUCAUUACCGUGAAAUGCUAAAACCCCACCAAAAACCACACGUCUAAACAAAUGGGAGGGCACAAAAUAUUGAAUUUCAAGGGAUCCUUUUAUGUUAUAGAGGAAAACAAAAAUUAAACCCAAAUUUGGCACCAAUUUUGAGGUGUUAUGUCAAUAUAUGAAAGGAAAGAGUGAAGAACUUGACCCACCUUUUCCAAUUUGGAUCCGUACAACCGAUGAAUGGACGAUGAUGAUGGUAAUAGACGGCUAAUGCACUUGAAGAUGAAAAUCCAAAAUUCAAGCACUAUCUCACCUCCAUCAUCAUAUUUGUAAUUGUAUUUCACAAUCUGAUUUUCGUUUAUGAAAGCUAAAACCGUGGACCGUCCAUUGUUUGUACGUUUAUUCUUUUACCCAAUUAAUUUAUGGGAUCCCCACUUUAAAGAAAUUUAACAUCAUAAAAAUCGAAAUUUACAUCAUUAAAAUCAGAAAAAAAGCAAGAACCUAAAUGAUAAUUAAAUUGAUGAAUGGUUCUUAGAAAUCAAGAGUAAUUUUUUUUUUUUUUUUAUAUCACUCACCUGCGGUUCUGGAACCAAACGUGUUUGAGCUUAAUGUUGAAAAGAAUGGGGCAUUCCCUGGUGAGCUGCAGCCGGCGGCGGCGGCGGCGGCGACUGGAGGAGACGAAGCUCGCGGCGACGACUUAGGAUUAUAGAUUUGGGAGUGGGAGAGAGGCGAUGGGAGAGCAAGAGAGGCUGCAUAUAUGGUAGGGCGUCAGAGAAGAGCUGGCAUGCCUCGGAGGCUCCUAUGGUAGAGCGUUAGAUACCAAAUUAGGGCAUUUGCAUUGAUAUGGAGAGAGAAAUUUGCGCCAUAGAUCAAGCGAUGGGGAGAAAAAACCAAAUCAAGGUAUUUGCAGAUUGAUUACUGUGAGAAGCUGAGUUUUUUCGAAGGCGUAAAAGGUAGAAUUUAGAUAAAUCGAAAUAGAGACUUUUGAGAGCGCCACGUAGGAUAGAGAAUUGUUGUGGGCUCUCAAAAAUGUAUUG